rnacentral:rRNA from 1 species
AACGAACGCUGGCGGCAUGCCUAACACAUGCAAGUCGAACGAGACCUUCGGGUCUAGUGGCGCACGGGUGCGUAACGCGUGGGAACCUGCCCUUAGGUUCGGAAUAACUCCCCGAAAGGGGUGCUAAUACCGGAUAAUGUCUUCGGACCAAAGAUUUAUCGCCUUUGGAUGGGCCCGCGUUGGAUUAGCUAGUUGGUAGGGUAAAAGCCUACCAAGGGGACGAUCCAUAGCUGGUCUGAGAGGAUGAUCAGCCACACUGGGACUGAGACACGGCCCAGACUCCUACGGGAGGCAGCAGUGGGUAAUAUUGGACAAUGGGCGAAAGCCUGAUCCAGCAAUGCCGCGUGAGUGAUGAAGGCCUUAGGGUUGUAAAGCUCUUUUACCCGGGAUGAUAAUGACAGUACCGGGAGAAUAAGCGCCGGCUAACUCCGUG